CCUACGGGUGGCUGCAGUGAGGAAUAUUGGUCAAUGGGCGAGAGCCUGAACCAGCCAAGUCGCGUGAAGGAUGACGGCCCUACGGGUUGUAAACUUCUUUUGUCAGGGAGCAAGUGGGUCCACGCGUGGGCUUAGCGAGAGUACCUGAAGAAAAAGCAUCGGCUAACUCCGUGCCAGCAGCCGCGGUAAUCCGGAGGAUGCGAGCGUUAUCCGGAUUUAUUGGGUUAAAAGGGUGCGUAGGCGGAAGAUCAAGUCAGCGGUAAAAAUUCGGGGCUAAACCCCGUCGUGACGUUGAAACUGGUGUUCUUGAGUGGCGGAGAGGUAUGCAGAAUGCGAGGGGUAGCGGUGAAAUGCGUAGAGAUCACGCAGAAGACCGAUUGCGAAGGCAGCCUACCGGC
rnacentral:rRNA from 1 species